UUUACAAGAGAUGUUGAUGUCCUCCACCUCAUAAAAAUUGGAAUACUUUUUGUUGCAGCCACCCAACCCAUCAAUGCUUUGGCAUUUGUAUUUUUGCAGACUAUAAUCUAUCUCCUUACGUGAGAUGGUUAUUACAACCCUGGGUGAUCUGCAUGGGCUCUAUCCGGGGAUCAUUAUUGCAAAAUAAGGUUUUGAGGAUUAAGGAUAAGUCUACUGAUCAGUUUGGAUGAGAUGGCGUCUUCACAAAAUGUCGAGUUGGAGGCAGCCAACUUUCUGCAUAAACUUACUCAGGAUUCUAAAGAUGAGCCAGCUAAGCUGGCUACUAAACUCCAUGUUAUAUUACAACAUAUGAAAUCCAGCGGGAAGGAACAUUCAAUGCCAUAUCAAGUGAUAUCAAGGGCUAAAUUUAUAUCUGCAGAAGAAAGAGUUGGUGUCACUUUUGAUGAUUUUCCUGGCCAGGAAUAUAUAAAGAGGGAAUUGUGAGAGAUUGUACAAAUUUUAAAGAAUGAUGAGGAGUUUCAAGACAAAGGAAUUUAUUGUCCAAAAGGUGUGCUUCUCGAUGGACCUCCAGGAACUGGUAAAACUCUACUGGCUAAAGCCAUCGCUGGGGAAGCAGGGUUGCCUUUUUUUGCGGCAAAUGGCACAGAUUUUGUAGAGAUGUUUGUAGGGGUUGCUGCAUCACGUGUUAAGGAUCUUUUUCUUCUGCCUUCGUCCGUAUUUAUUUAUAAGAGGUGCUUGUGAUAGGUGCUACAAAUAGAUUAGACAUUCUUGAUCCCGCUUUGUUGAGGAAGGGUCGUUUUGACAAGAUCAUUCGAGUUGGUUUGCCAUUUUGAAGUCUCAUUUUGAGAUUCUUCAUCAAUCUCAACUCAAGGGAGAUGCGAGUUGGUGGAAUACAUGUUCACUGCAAGGAAUUGUGAGACCUCCUAUGGGAUGAUCAUAUCCACCUCCCAUGAGAUGAUCAUAUCCAAACUCUUCCUCAACUUCACUCGAACUCUUAGAAUGAAGCUUGGUUCAAAUAUGAAAUGGGAAUCACAUAACGCUUUUGAUUAUCUACGACAUACACUGCAAGAUAACCCUUUGGGACUUGUACGGAUUUUGAAAUUGCUUGCUUAGCUGAGAAUGAUGCCUUUCCCCAUUUUUCUUGUGUAUGUAGGGAAUGGAAAGAGAAAGGGAAAUUGAGAAAUUAAUUCUCACCUUUAUGGCUUUACAAACACACAGUUGUUCUGAACGAGAAAUUGAGAAUUGAAACCCUAACUAGAAAGAGUGACUGGCUGGUAGCUAGCUAGUUUCUUUCCCACAGGUAGUGGCGACAGGUCUCAUUUAGACUCAGGUCCUACACACCACUCGGCGUGAUGCCGUGAAUUUAGGGGUAAAAGGAAAAUCUUGGAGCACUUGCCGUAAUCCCAAAAGCAAAGCAAAAAUGGAGGGGCAGCAAUGAUGGAGGCUCAGGUUCUCCUUCAGGAACGCAACCAUAGUGGUGUGCUUCAUUAACGUAAUCACUGCACUCUUCUUGCUCCAUGGAUUCCUCACUUCUUCCUACACCUGCAACAAACUUUCCUCACUUAAUUCCAACCCAGGCUAGUUUUUCUUUCUUAAAUUCGGUUGUCUUGUGGAAUAUUGUAGUGUUUUGAAUUCGAUUGGAUCGGAUCGUAGUUAUUGCUUAAUUUUGUGGAAUAUUGCAUAGAUUUA